CCAUGGUUUGGCCUGGGCACACCCACACCUACCAACUCCACCACUGCAGUGACACGGAAUGGCACACACUGUGUCUACAAAGUGACAUCUUUCAGAUACUUGGUGGCUUUUUGGAUAUGCAUACCCUCGAUGGCCUGGGAACUCUUUUUGGGCAACC